UACGGGGGGGCAAGCGUUGUUCGGAAUUACUGGGCGUAAAGGGCGCGUAGGUGGCCAACUAAGUCAGACGUGAAAUCCCUCGGCUUAACCGGGGAACUGCGUCUGAUACUGGAUGGCUUGAGUUUGGGAGAGGGACGCGGAAUUCCAGGUGUAGGCGGUGAAAUGCGUAGAUAUCUGGAGGAACACCGGUGGCGAAGGCGGCGGUCCUGGACCAAUACGUGACACUGAAACGCGAAAGCCAGGGGAGCAAAGCGGG
rnacentral:rRNA from 1 species